CAAUAGCGUAUAUUAAAGUUGUUGCAGUUAGAACGCUCGUAGUCGGAUUUCGGGGCGGGGCGACCGGUCUGCCGAUGGGUAUGCACUGGUCGGCGCGUCCUUCCUUCCGGAGACCGUUCCUACUCUUAACUGAGCGGGGGCGGGAGACGGAUCGUUUACUUUGAAAAAAACAGAGUGUUUCAAGCAGGCAGCUCGCUCUUGCAUGGAUUAGCAUGGGAUAAUGAAAUAGGACUUUGGUGCUAUUUUGUUGGUUUCGAACACCGAAGUAAUGAUUAAAAGGGACAGUCAGGGGCACUCGUAUUCCGCCGAGAGAGGUGAAAUUCUCAGACCAGCGGAAGACGAACCACUGCGAAAGCAUUUGCCAGGGAUGUUUUCACUGA
rnacentral:rRNA from 1 species